rnacentral:rRNA from 1 species
AUUGAACGCUGGCGGCAGGCCUAACACAUGCAAGUCGAACGAGUGGCGGAGGGGUGAGUAAUGUGUGGGAAACUGUCUGAUGUAGGGGGAUAACUACUGGAAACGGUAGCUAAUACAGCACACGAUCUGUUGUGCUCAGAGGGGAUGAGCUAGUUGGUGGGGUAAUGGCUCACCAAGGCGACGAUCCCUAGCUGGUCUGAGAGGAUGACCAGCCACACUGGAACUGAGACACGGUCCAGACUCCUACGGGAGGCAGCAGUGGGGAAUAUUGCACAAUGGGCGAAAGCCUGAUGCAGCCAUGCCGCGUGUGUGAAGAAGGCCUUCGGGUUGUAAAGCACUUUCAGCGAGGAGGCGUUACUCGCAGAAGAAGCACCGGCUAACUCCGUGCCAGCAGCCGCGGUAAUUC